rnacentral:snoRNA from 1 species
AUAUUAUGAUUUGGACAUUUUCAAAGUAUAUCCUUAAACCUCUCCCAGGCCUCAUAAAAACUCUCAAAUUCGGAUUGUUGGAAAGUGGUUAUGUCAUGCUUGAGUUU